UACGUAGGCAGCAAGCAUUGUUCGGAGUUACUGGGCGUAAAGAGUGCGUAGGCGGUUUCGUAAGUUUGGUGUGAAAUCUCCCGGCUCAACUGGGAGGGUGCGCCGAAAACUGGGGUGCUGGAGCGCGGGAGAGGAAAGCGGAAUUCCUGGUGUAGCGGUGAAAUGCGUAGAUAUCGCUUGGAACGCCAGCGGUGAAAACAGGUUGCUGGGGGUGUGCUGACGCUGAGACACGAAAGCCAGGGGAGCGAACGGG
rnacentral:rRNA from 1 species